rnacentral:rRNA from 1 species
AAUCCGGAUAAUCAAGGCUGAGGUGUGAUGACGAGCACUACGGUGCUGAAGUAACAAAUGCCCUGCUUCCAGGAAAAGCCUCUAAGCAUCAGGUAACAUCAAAUCGUACCCCAAACCGACACAGGUGGUCAGGUAGAGAAUACCAAGGCGCUUGAGAGAACUCGGGUGAAGGAACUAGCAAAAUGGUGCCGUAACUUCGGGAGAAGGCACGCUGGUGUGUAGGUGAAGCCCCUGCGGUGGAGCUGAGACCAGUCGAAGAUACCAGCUGGCUGCAACUGUUUAUUAAAAACACAGCACUGUGCAAACACGAAAGUGGACGUAUACGGUGUGACGCCUGCCCGGUGCCGGAAGGUUAAUUGAUGGGGUUAUCCGUAAGGAGAAGCUCUUGAUCGAAGCCCCGGUAAACGG